rnacentral:hammerhead_ribozyme from 11 species
UCCCAGUCUGGGGUUGCAUCUGCCCCACUGAAACUGGAU